GGCUAGUUGAAUCACAAUCCUGUAAAACUUCCCCUUCCACUUUUCAAGCAGUUUAUGAUCAUAGAGGAUUCCUACUUCACAUCUCCACUUCACCAUCCUACUUUAGACAUAUGGAUAGCAUCCUCCCCACUUGCCCCAUAUCUUUGUACUAUAAAUCCUAGGAAUUUGAAGUGUGUGCUUUGGGGACCUUUAUGUCAUUUGAGCUAA
rnacentral:misc_RNA from 1 species